CCGAUGUUCUGCUGACCAAAACAUCGAGGCAGCUGUAGGUUCCUUCCACAAGUGACUUAAUGUUGAGAUAUGCUGAUCAAAAAAAAGCCAGAAAUGGACCUCACCUGGGCAAACUAGAGCAGUUGGGACCCCUCAGAACUUUGAAGCCAAAUUAUGCAAGGCCUGUUGGGAACCUUUGUGGUGGAGGAAAGACAGUGCAGAGGAUGGAUUGGUUUUCUGUACUCACCUGUCUCUGGCUGGCUGAAGAGGUCCUUCAGCUGGGAGGGUCCAUGGGAUCUGCGUGGAUGUGACUUGG